rnacentral:rRNA from 1 species
AAGCGCUGGCAACCAGACUUGUGUGCGGGGGUUCCCCCUUGCUUCUGCUUGGGCUACUCCCCCGUAUCCAGGCCAACAUCGGUUUUGGCGGCCGGUUAAAGGCCUUGGGAAUGUAUCUUCCUCCGGGAAGACUUAUAGCCCAGGGCGCCAUGCGGCCCGCCGGGACCGAGGAACGCGCUUCGUGCUCGGAUGUUGGCGUAAUGGUUGUCAGCGA